CGGACGAGAAAGACAGGCAAGAGAUAAUAGUAGCAGAAUUUCACAAAAAAAUCAAAGAGGCAUUUGAAGUGUUUGACCAUGAGUCGAAUAAUACAGUGGAUGUGAGAGAGAUUGGAACAAUUAUCAGGUCAUUAGGAUGCUGCCCUACUGAAGGAGAGCUGCAUGAUCUGAUUGCAGAGGAGGAGAAGCCAGGCAUAUCAGGGCCUUGGUUUUCCAGGUAGAGGAAGAAGAACCCACUGGAUACAUUCGAUUCGAAAAAUUUCUUCCGGUGAUGACAGAAAUACUACUAGAAAGAAUACAGACCAAUUCCAGAAGAUGUCCUUCUUCGAGCUUUUGAGGUUUUAGAUUCAGCUAAACGUGGAUUUCUUACUAAGGACGAACUGAUCAAGUAUAUGACUGAAGAAGGUGAGCCUUUUUCUCAAGAGGAAAUGGAAGAAAUGUUGUCUGCUGCAAUUGAUCCAGAAUCAAAUUCAAUUAAUUACAAGGACUAUAUAACAAUGAUGGUGAUAGAUGAAAAUUAAAUGUUCUAAAUAUAAUUUCUAAUUGAAAGACAAUUUUAGAAAUUGCUUGUUCUUCUUAAUUUCACAUCUUAGGAUUCCUAUAUGUGAUAUUUAAUACCUUGUGACAUAACUAUUUUAAGAUACUUUGUUUUUAAAGAUGAUCAUAGCACUUUAAAACAAAUUUAGUAUGUCUAGCCUUACAGAAUGAUAAAUUACUAUUUAUUUAAAAACUAUUC
rnacentral:sRNA from 1 species